GCAAGUGAUCCAGCUUGCUCUUAGUUGAUGGAAAGAUCCACGUUGAUUUCCACAAGCUGCAGACUUUGCUCCAUUCAAUUUGGAGUUUUGUAUCUUCUCAUACUCCAUCCCUGGGAUCCAGUAGAGCAUAUUGCAGAAGAAUGAACAUGUGGAUUACUAGGAUGUAUCACUACAUUACCUUUGUUGCCUCAGAUACCUCUGGUCCACUUUCCAAUACAAUCAAGAAAACUAGGUUACUUCUGAGUAUGCAGCCCUGACCCGAUGCCCGCCACACAUGUGGACACAUGCACGUGUGUGUGCAUUCAUGCACUCAAUCUGAGCAG
rnacentral:lncRNA from 1 species